AUUAAAAAAUUAGAAUAAUGCUCUGAAUUAUGUACAUAUCGCCCGUCAUUCUCAUCUAGUGAGACAAGUCGUAACAAAGUAGACGUAUUGGAAAAUGUGUCUAGCAGAUGAAUUCAAGGCGAAAUAAUUUUUUACAAUAAUUACUCUAAACUGUUCAAUUCAGUUUCGUCUGAAUUAUUUUGCUUUAUUUUUAUACAAUUUAAAUUAAUCAAAAUUAUUUAUUGUUUUUUUCUUUUAAAUGUAAUUUUUUAAAAAUUCAACUGUAAGGGGGGUAUAGUUGAAUAUUUAAAAAAAUUAUUAAAAAGGAAAUUAUAAUAUUGUACCUUUUGUAUCAGGGUUAAUUGAUUUUUUUUUAGUUAAUUUAAUUUUCCCGAAGGUUAAAGAUUUUAAUUCAUUAGGCUUUUACUAUGUCAUAAUUAUUGAAAAAGUUGAAUUACGUUUCGAAAUGAAAAUCGUUUUAAUGGAUAUCUGGUUAUUUUGAAGUUAAAUUUAAUUUAGGUUUAUUACAAUUUGUUUUAUUUUAAUUUUCUUUUAAAAUGUUAUACACUAAUUUAUAUUGGGUUAAUCUAAUUUAAUUUUUAUAAAUUUUCUUUGGGGGGGGGAAAUUGUAGGAUUAAAAUUUUUUAUCUAUAUAAGUUUGUUUUAAAUUAUUCUCUGACUAACUUUUACUUUAAAAUUAUACAAAAUUAUUAAUUUUAAUUAUUAAAUUUUAUAAUAAUGAUUAAAUUAGUAAUUUCAAACUUUAAUAUUAUGAAUUCGGCAAAUUGAUUUUCUGUCUGUUUAACAAAAACAUUUCUUUUAGAAUUUAUAUUAAAAGUUGGGCCUGCUCAGUGAAUAUAUUUAAAUAGCUGCAGUAUUUUAACUGUACAAAGGUAGCAUAGUAAUUAGUCUUUUAAUUGAGGUCUUGAAUGAAUGGUUUAACAAGAAAAUCACUUUAUUAUGUUAAUUGAAUAAAUUUUAUUUUUUAGUUAAAAAGCUAAAAUUUUUAAAUGGGACGAUAAGACCCUUUAGAUCUUUAAAUUUUUAUUAAUACACAAAUUUUAGUUGAAUUAAUUUUUUUUUAUAAAAAUUUUUUGUUGGGGUGACAUACAAAAUUUUUAAACUUUGUGAAAUUUCUACAUAUAUAAAUGAUUUACUUGAACCUAAAUUUUAGGUUACUAAAAUAAGAUACCUCAGGGAUAACAGCGUAAUAAAUUUGUAUAGUUCAUAUAGAUAAAUUUGUUUACGACCUCGAUGUUGAAUUAAUUUUAAACUUUGGAGCAGAAUAUAAAAUUUUAGGUCUGUUCGACCUUUAAAAAAUUACAUGAUUUGAGUUCAAACCGGUGUAAGCCAGGUUGGUUUCUAUCUAUUUAUAUUUUUAUUUAAUUAGUACGAAAGGACUUUUAAGUUGGAAAUACUUUCU
rnacentral:rRNA from 1 species